AAUUCAUGCAUUGGACAUUUUCACAGUAACUCUUUAAAUCGCUCCCAAGCUUUAUGUAAAUUCUCGUCUUCUAGUUGUUUGAAGGAGGUGAGAUCAUUCCUCAUAUU